rnacentral:rRNA from 1 species
AUUGAACGCUGGCGGCAGGCCUAACACAUGCAAGUCGAGCGGAUGAAGGGAGCUUGCUCCUGGAUUCAGCGGCGGACGGGUGAGUAAUGCCUAGGAAUCUGCCUGGUAGUGGGGGAUAACGUCCGGAAACGGGCGCUAAUACCGCAUACGUCCUGAGGGAGAAAGUGGGGGACCUUCGGACCUCACGCUAUCAGAUGAGCCUAGGUCGGAUUAGCUAGUUGGUGGGGUAAAGGCCUACCAAGGCGACGAUCCGUAACUGGUCUGAGAGGAUGAUCAGUCACACUGGAACUGAGACACGGUCCAGACUCCUACGGGAGGCAGCAGUGGGGAAUAUUGGACAAUGGGCGAAAGCCUGAUCCAGCCAUGCCGCGUGUGUGAAGAAGGUCUUCGGAUUGUAAAGCACUUUAAGUUGGGAGGAAGGGCAGUAAGUUAAUACCUUGCUGUUUUGACGUUACCAACAGAAUAAGCACCGGCUAACUUCGU